UCAUACAAUGGAGGUGCAAGAGCUGUCGCUGACCCUUUAAAGGUCGUGCACGCCCGAGCACUCUCACACAUCCAUCUCACCCAUCGUGCACAACCGCGUGAGUCCCCUCGGAAGGGGGGGCCUACGUUUUUUCACACAAACCUUAAAGCAGUGUAGAAUGUAUUUUCUUUUUGCGGUGAUACGCGAUCAAUA
rnacentral:misc_RNA from 1 species